rnacentral:hammerhead_ribozyme from 1 species
AUCCAGCUGAUGAGUCUUAAAUAGGACGAAACACGAGUCCUGAAU